AUGGAGCUCCGCCAGGGGACGGCAGGUGCUGCCAUGGAGCUUCGCCGGCGGGCCGGCCGAUGCUGCGAUGGAGCUUCGCCGAUGCCAUCCGGUGCUGCAUUGGAGCUUCGUCGGAGGGCCGCCGAUGCUGCAAUAGAGGUCUGCCAAGGCUGUCCGGUGUUGCAUUGGAGCUUCGUCGGAGGGCCGCCGGUGCUGCAAUGGAGGUCCGCCGAGGCCAUCAUCGAGUGUUGCAUUGGAGCUUCGUCGGAGGUCCGCCGAUGCUGCGAUGGAGGUCCGGCGAGGCCGUCUGGUGCUGCAUUGGAGCAUCGUUGGGGUUGUUGA
rnacentral:rRNA from 1 species